UACGUAGGGUGCGAGCGUUAAUCGGAAUACUGGGCGUAAAGCGUGCGCAGGCGGUUUUGUAAGCCAGAUGUGAAAUCCCCAGGCUUAACCUGGGAAUGGCAUUUGGGACUGCAAGGCUUGAGUGCGGCAGAGGAGACUGGAAUUCCUGGUGUAGCAGUGAAAUGCGUAGAUAUCAGGAGGAACACCGAUGGCGAAGGCAGGUCUCUGGGCUGACACUGACGCUCAUGCACGAAAGCGUGGGGAGCAAACAGG
rnacentral:rRNA from 1 species